GGGCCCUUAGCACAACGGUUAGUGCAGUGGGCUCAUAAUCCAUUGGUUGUAGGUUCAAAUCCUACAGGGCCCACCA
rnacentral:tRNA from 1 species